GACGAACGCUGGCGGUGUGCUUAACACAUGCAAGUCGAACGGUAAGGCCCUUUCGGGGGUACACGAGUGGCGAACGGGUGAGUAACACGUGAGUAACCUGCCCUCAUCUCUGGGAUAACAGUCGGAAACGGUUGCUAAUACUGGAUAUGAGCUUGCAAGGCAUCUUGUGGGUUGGAAAGAUUUUUUUUGGUUGGGGAUGGACUCGCGGCCUAUCAGCUUGUUGGUGAGGUAGUGGCUCACCAAGGCUUCGACGGGUAGCCGGCCUGAGAGGGCGACCGGCCACAUUGGGACUGAGAUACGGCCCACACUCCUACGGGAGGCAGCAGUGGGGAAUAUUGCACAAUGGACGGAAGUCUGAUGCAGCAACGCCGCGUGCGGGAUGACGGCCUUCGGGUUGUAAACCGCUUUCAAUUGUGACGAAGCUUUUUUGUGACGGUAGCAGUAGAAGAAGCACCGGCUAACUACGUG
rnacentral:rRNA from 1 species